UACAGAGGGUGCAAGCGUUAAUCGGAUUUACUGGGCGUAAAGCGCGCGUAGGCGGCUAAUUAAGUCAAAUGUGAAAUCCCGAGCUUAACUUGGGAAUUGCAUUCGAUACUGGUUAGCUAGAGUGUGGGAGAGGAGUGGUAGAAUUCCAGGUGUAGCGGUGAAAUGCGUAGAGAUCUGGAGGAAUACCGGAUGGCGAAGGCAGCCAUCUGGCCUAACACUGACGCUGAGGUGCGAAAGCAUG
rnacentral:rRNA from 1 species